AACGAACGCUGGCGGCAUGCCUAACACAUGCAAGUCGAACGGGAACUCCGUGCUUAGUGGCGCAGGGGUGGGUAACGAGUGGGAAGCUGCCCUUAGGUAAGGUAUCAUUCACUGUGGGGGGUGCUAAUAAAGGUUAAGGUAAUAGGACCAAAGAUCUCUCGCCUUUGGGUGGGCCCGGGUUGGUUUAGCCGGUUGGUAGGGUAAUAGCCCAUCAAGGCGUCGUUGCAUAGCUGGUCUGAGAGGAUGAUCAGCCACACUGGGACUGAGGCACGGCCCAGACUCGUACGGGAGGCAGCAGAGUGGAAUACAGUACAAUGGGCGAAAGCCUGAUCCAGCAAUGCCGCGUGAGUGAGGAAGGCGUUAGUGUUGUACAGCCGUUUUACCCGGGACGAGAAUGACGGUACCGGGAGAAUAAGCACCGGCUAACUCCGUG
rnacentral:rRNA from 1 species